UACGAAGGGGGCUAGCGUUGUUCGGAUUUACUGGGCGUAAAGCGCACGUAGGCGGAUCUUUAAGUCAGAGGUGAAAUCCCAAGGCUCAACCUUGGAACUGCCUUUGAUAGUGGGGAUCUUGAGUCCGGGAGAGGUGAGUGGAACUGCGAGUGUAGAGGUGAAAUUCGUAGAUAUUCGCAAGAACACCAGUGGCGAAGGCGGCUCACUGGCCCGGUACUGACGCUGAGGUGCGAAAGCGUGGGGAGCAAACAGG
rnacentral:rRNA from 1 species